CACCACCCCUGACAAAUGCAGAAGAGAUGGCCCUGAGCCUAAAUGCUGGAAGUUCAGCUUUGGAGGCGGCUCGAGAGGAGUGCGGCUAAGGAGCGACAGUGCGGCUAGCUUGCUGCGGCUAGCUUACUAACAUCACGGCUGCUAACCGGGACGAGGCCAACGUCCGGCAGCUAACCGACCUAACAGAGAAAACAACCAGUGGAAAACGACGCGUUGGAUUGACAACAGGCAGAGGUAAAACUCUGCCUUGUCCGGUGUCUGUGUUCACAGAGAGACAGCGCAGUGGCCUCCAACUGCUGAGCAGGAGCCUUAAGGAAGCGACAGGCAAAAAGAAGCGAAAUAAUGCCUCCAAAA